rnacentral:lncRNA from 1 species
UUUAAAAUACACUGCCAAAAACCAUUUUUGUAGCCAUGUUUAAAUGAGUAAAUCAAUUCUGAAAUUAUUGGAACUCAGUAAAAAUAAAAACGACAAAGAAAAUGAAUAGAAGCAAUUCAAUAUUAUUAAGAAAGUGAAAAAGUUUCCGAGAUUGCUUGCUCCCAAAUGAAAAAAACCGUACACGAUCUGAAGGAUAAAUUACUACCCAAUGUUUCAACUUCUUGGGGCUAGGUCAUGAACACUCUUUUCUAGCUUUACAAACAAAAAUAGUUACUAAUCUCUACCAACACACUUGAACAGUCUGCAAACAGAACGCCACCGUCAUUAGAAGCUCUACCGUCCUCCUUCCUUGCUCGUUAUACCUAGUCACUGCACAAUACUUAGACGCGAUGUUUGAUAAGAUUAAAUAAUUUAAUAAAUUAGAUCAGUAAAAUAGUAUCUGAACUUGAAAAAAAUUAUUUGAUAAUUAAAAAAUAUUAAAUAUCUGAAUGACUUUUAAAUAUAUAAAUAUCAAUUGUAAAAUAUUUCAAAUUGAUUUUUCAAAACUCGGUAAUGAUCUUAAAAUUUAAAAAUGAAAGGAAUAAAAUAUUUAGUCUCCAUAUAUUAAAAUUUUCAUUAAGAGGCGGUUGGUUAUUAAUAAUUUAGUAUAACGAUAACAGAUAAAUAAAAUUUUAUCAAACAACUUUACCCUCUUACAAAAUCAGAUAUGGAACUAUUAAGAGAUAAUAAGUAAGAGGUAAACAAACAACACCUUAUAUUGUAUUUGGUUGAUAAAAAUGGAAUGACCAUUGCUUUCAGAAUGACUAAAAACAUGUUAGAUUAGUUUGUUGGAAUAGCCAUUCUAUAACUUUUAUGUUAAGUUUGAAUUGAAAGAAUAAAAUGAAUAGUAGAAUAAUUCAUUCUAUUCUAGUUGAAAUGAGUUAUUCGUAUGUUCUCCCCCCAAAAAACUAAACAUAAUUUUUUUUUUCAUUCCAAUCACAACCAAACACAAAAUAUAUAAAUGAGUCAUUCUAUUCUCACUUUCAUUAUUCAGAUCCAAACGUAACCUAGCAUUAGUUAUUAUUUUUCAUCCCUUCCUUUCUCAAUAGCUUCGUUAUUUUUGACCCGACUUUAUCUUAUUCGAUCGAUCGAUUCAAUCGCGCUUCGUUCGCCGUCCAUCACAGGUACAUGCCCCUCUUCUCUCCACUCUUUUAUCUCCUCUAUCUCCUACAUCUAUUCUCUGAAAUUGAUUUUUCUGUUGUUCUCUUUCAGUUCGGUAAGACAUCUGAUCUCAGUUUAUUCAUUUAUAAUUUCUUUACUUUGUUCAUCCAUUUGUGCUUAAUCAAAUCUGAUUUUGGUGCUCAAUCAAAUCUGAUUUUGGUGCUCAAUGCGCACCACAUCUUUGAUGUAUUGACGCUAUGAAGAUUACAACAAACCCUGUUUAUAUUGUUGGGGGCUUUUCACUUGCAUUCAUGUAGAUAGCAGUUCUAUUUUACAUUGGUGUCAAGCAUUUUAUCUCCAUUAUAGCAAUAUUGCAAAUUGUUUCAUGGAUCGGUGUUAUUAGGCAUUACUAGCUGCUUUCUCUUAUUGUUCAAAAUCUUUCCAUUUUAUCAUCUCUUACCAGCAUUGAUGAAUUAUAAAGCCUUUCCUAUUCCAAAUUUUAAGCUGACUUCACAUUCUGGUUUUGAUGCUGAGCUGUGUACAUCUAAUACAAUUAGUAGGCUGGCAGUAUUGUAGGCAAUUGCUAUGGCGGUCUUGGUGCUGUUGGUUGUUUGUUUACAUGACAAGGUUGUGCUUGAAAGAAUCAAGAUUACGGAAUUUCUGUAAUGUUUUUCUUUCAUUAUUCUUAUUAUGUCGAACACUAGUUGGCAGGAGUAAAAUACAGUUUAGACUUUAGAAGAUGCUGUAAAACGAGUGUAUCUGUGUGCUGUUUUAGCUCAUCCAUGCAAUACAUUAUAUCACAAAUAAUAUAGUAUUAUAUCCAGUUACUUAUAUUUUUUUUUAAGNNNNNNNNNNNNNNNNNNNNNNNNNNNNNNNNNNNNNNNNNNNNNNNNNNNNNNNNNNNNNNNNNNNNNNNNNNNNNNNNNNNNNNNNNNNNNNNNNNNNAACUCAAUUGAAAUGACUUUUAAAAUGCCUCGUAUGCUGGUUUUAUGCAAUUGAAUUGACUUUUAAAAUGCUUUAUAUGCUGGUUUUAUGUAUCUUUUUUAAGACGCCAUAGAUGUCCAUUAGUUAUUUUGUCGAUCAAAUGCAGUAAUGGCUCGAUUUAAUUUAGCUACAAGGAAAAAUAUCACAAAGGAGGAUUGUUAUACUAUUUACAAUGUGGUUGCACAUGAUUACAUUGGUGAAUUGAUUUUUUCAAAUUAUGGGUUUGAUUAGGCGGAAAGUUUUAAGGCAACAAUAUUCCAUUUAUAAGUUGCGGAGGACACGGAGGAUACGUUACAUUGAUGGGUUAGUCAAUGGAGGUGAUAAUAAUUGUAUUGAACUACUUUGGAUGAAUGACUACCUUUCACAAAAGAAGUAGAAGUAUGGAUUCAAUUGCGGAGGCUGUUUAUGACUUCAAGACUCAACUUCAUGAAACUACCAAAAUGUUUAGUCAAAUAAUUUGUGAGGACAAUCUGAUGGAGCAAAAAAAGAAACUCAAUGAGGAGCUCUUCAAAGGUAUCAAACUGCGAAGAAGAUGAUCGAUAAUAAGAACCUCAUGAUAUUGUUUUUUGUUGUACCAGAGGAUGAAAAAGAUGAUUUUGUGCAAGUUUUAUUUCGUGGAGACAUUUGAAAAUAUAGUGAAUUUAAACUUUUAGGCCUAUUAUAUGAUUAUAUGAAUGGUAAUAAUUACUUGCCUCAUAGGACGAAUAUGUCAUGGUAUUAUAUAAAAUUUAUUGUUAUGUGAAUACUUCAAAAACUAUUGUUUCAAAAGUGUGUGGUGUUUGAUUCAAAAUUAUAUAUAUCUCUUAGCUUGAAUAAUUGUAUGGAGGUGU